rnacentral:rRNA from 1 species
GACGAACGCUGGCGGCGUGCUUAAAACAUGCAAGUCGAACGGACUUCUCAUGAAGCUUGCGAUUGAGAAGUUAGUGGCGGACGGGUGAGUAACGCGUGGGCAACCUGCCCCUGAGCCCGGGAUAACAGUUCGAAAGGACUGCUAAGACCGGAUAUACUUGCGGUGAAGCAUUUCACUGCAAGGAAAGGGAACGCUCAGGGAUGGGCCCGCGUCCCAUUAGCUAGUUGGUGAGGUAACGGCCCACCAAGGCGACGAUGGGUAGCCGGCCUGAGAGGGUGAACGGCCACACUGGGACUGAGACACGGCCCAGACUCCUACGGGAGGCAGCAGUAGGGAAUCUUCCGCAAUGGACGAAAGUCUGACGGAGCAACGCCGCGUGAGUGAAGAAGGUUUUCGGAUCGUAAACUCUGUUGUCAGAGAAGAACAAGUUGGAGAGUAACUGCUCCAGCCUUGACGGUAUCUGACCAGAAAGCCACGGCUAACUACGUGCCAGCAGCCGAC